rnacentral:tRNA from 1 species
GGCGAUGUAGCGAAGUGGUUACGACGAUUGAUUUGAAAUCAAUUCUUCUUUGAGGGCGUAGGUUCAAAUCCUGCCAUUGUCG